UAUUGCACUAUUGAUGAAACUCUGAUGCAGCGACGCCGCGUGAGUGAUGAAGGUUUUCGAGUCGUAAAACUCUGUCCUAUUGGACGAUAAUGAGGGUACCCGCGGCGGAAGCCCCGGCUACCUAAGUGCCAGUAGCCGCGGUAAUACGUAGGGGGCGAGCGUUGUCCGGAAUUAUUGGGCGUAAAGGGUUCGCAGGCGGCCUUUUAAAUCAGAUGUGAAAGAUCACGGCUCAACCGUGGUAAGCAUUUGAAACUGGAAGGCUUGAGUUAAGGAGAGGAAAGUGGAAUUCCUAGUGUAGCGGUGAAAUGCGUAGAUAUUAGGAGGAAUACCAGUGGCGAAGGCGACUUUCUGGACUUAUACUGACGCUGAGGAACGAAAGCGUGGGGAGCAAACA
rnacentral:rRNA from 1 species